GCACUGCUGAGAAGUUCAACAAUAAGACGAAACGGCCGUCCAGUGC
rfam:Schistosoma mansoni, Puerto Rico, WGS project CABG01000000 data, contig: 0062